UGACCAACCUACCCCUUGCUCUGGGAUAACCCCGGGAAACCGGAGCUAAUACCGGAUACGAGACCGUGCGGCAUCACGCGGUCUGGAAAGUUUUUCGGCAAGGGAUGGGGUCGCGGCCUAUCAGCUUGUUGGUGGGGUAAUGGCCCACCAAGGCGACGACGGGUAGCCGGCCUGAGAGGGCGACCGACCACACUGGGACUGAGACACGGCCCAGACUCCUACGGGAGGCA
rnacentral:rRNA from 1 species